rnacentral:rRNA from 1 species
GACGGAGAAGGCUAUGUUGGCCGGGCGACGGUUGUCCCGGUUUAAGCGUGUAGGCUGGUUUUCCAGGCAAAUCCGGAAAAUCAAGGCUGAGGCGUGAUGACGAGGCACUACGGUGCUGAAGCAACAAAUGCCCUGCUUCCAGGAAAAGCCUCUAAGCAUCAGGUAACAUCAAAUCGUACCCCAAACCGACACAGGUGGUCAGGUAGAGAAUACCAAGGCGCUUGAGAGAACUCGGGUGAAGGAACUAGGCAAAAUGGUGCCGUAACUUCGGGAGAAGGCACGCUGAUAUGUAGGUGAAGUCCCUCGCGGAUGGAGCUGAAAUCAGUCGAAGAUACCAGCUGGCUGCAACUGUUUAUUAAAAACACAGCACUGUGCAAACACGAAAGUGGACGUAUACGGUGUGACGCCUGCCCGGUGCCGGAAGGUUAAUUGAUGGGGUUAGCGCAAGCGAAGCUCUUGAUCGAAGCCCCGGUAAACGGCGGCCGUAACUAUAACGGUCCUAAGGUAGCGAAAUUCCUUGUCGGGUAAGUUCCGACCUGCACGAAUGGCGUAAUGAUGGCCAGGCUGUCUCCACCCGAGACUCAGUGAAAUUGAACUCGCUGUGAAGAUGCAGUGUACCCGCGGCAAGACGGAAAGACCCCGUGAACCUUUACUAUAGCUUGACACUGAACAUUGAGCCUUGAUGUGUAGGAUAGGUGGGAGGCUUUGAAGUGUGGACGCCAGUCUGCAUGGAGCCGACCUUGAAAUACCACCCUUUAAUGUUUGAUGUUCUAACGUGGACCCGUAAUCCGGGUUGCGGACAGUGUCUGGUGGGUAGUUUGACUGGGGCGGUCUCCUCCUAAAGAGUAACGGAGGAGCACGAAGGUUGGCUAAUCCUGGUCGGACAUCAGGAGGUUAGUGCAAUGGCAUAAGCCAGCUUGACUGCGAGCGUGACGGCGCGAGCAGGUGCGAAAGCAGGUCAUAGUGAUCCGGUGGUUCUGAAUGGAAGGGCCAUCGCUCAACGGAUAAAAGGUACUCCGGGGAUAACAGGCUGAUACCGCCCAAGAGUUCAUAUCGACGGCGGUGUUUGGCACCUCGAUGUCGGCUCAUCACAUCCUGGGGCUGAAGUAGGUCCCAAGGGUAUGGCUGUUCGCCAUUUAAAGUGGUACGCGAGCUGGGUUUAGAACGUCGUGAGACAGUUCGGUCCCUA